rnacentral:rRNA from 1 species
AGCGAACGCUGGCGGCAGGCCUAACACAUGCAAGUCGAACGGACCCUUCGGGGUUAGUGGCGGACGGGUGAGUAACACGUGGGAACGUGCCUUUAGGUUCGGAAUAGCUCCUGGAAACGGGUGGUAAUGCCGAAUGUGCCCUUCGGGGGAAAGAUUUAUCGCCUCUAGAGCGGCCCGCGUCUGAUUAGCUAGUUGGUGAGGUAAUGGCUCGCCAAGGCGACGAUCAGUAGCUGGUCUGAGAGGAUGACCAGCCACAUUGGGACUGAGACACGGCCCAAACUCCUACGGGAGGCAGCAGUGGGGAAUCUUGCGCAAUGGGCGAAAGCCUGACGCAGCCAUGCCGCGUGGAUGAUGAAGGUCUUAGGAUUGUAAAAUCCUUUCACCGGUGAAGAUAAUGACUGUAGCCGGAGAAGAAGCCCCGGCUAACUUCGUGCCAGCAGCCGCAGUAAAAC